rnacentral:lncRNA from 1 species
GAUAUCUCAGGCACUGACUUUCUUGUUCUCUUAAAGUAGUUUUUUUUUUUCUUAGUAACACCCAUUUUCUCUGGUUUCAAACUGCUCUUUUCUGGAGGAGAUAAUCGCCAAAAAAUCUUUUGACCCAUUUGCUUGCAAAUGCCCCUUGGCCAUGCAGCCCUAAGCCAGGCUGAUCCAGCCUUGUCUCGCCCCUCUCUGCAAGAGACUCGUGGGUACAGGAUGAUUGAGGGGGCCCCAGCCUCCCCAGCAGCUGCUGACUUGCGCUUGGAAAUUCAAUCCUCUCAAGGCAAGAAUUUCUGACAUGACAUGGGAAAAGCUGAAGAAGUCAGUCUUUGGGGUGUGUUUUCAUCUAGGAGGUGGCUUGAGAUGGAUUCAUGGCAAAUCACAAUAAAUUAUUUAUCAGAUAAUAA